GAGGUUGUGGCUCAGUGAUAGAGUGUUUACCUGGAACGUGUGAGGCUCUGGGUUCAAUUCUCAGCACCACA
rnacentral:tRNA from 1 species